CCUACGGGAGGCAGCAGUGAGGAAUAUUGGUCAAUGGUCUUACGCCUGAACCAGCCAAGUCGCGUGAGGGAAGACUGUCCUAUGGGUCGUAAACCUCUUUUGUCAGGGAGCAAUUGGCGCUACGUGUACCGUUAUCGAUAUUCCCUGAAGAAAAACCAUCGCCUAACCCCGUGCAAGCAGCGGCGGUAAUCCGGAGGAUGCGAGCGUUAUCCGGAUUUAUUGGGUUUAAAGGGUGCCGAGGCGGCAUGGCAAGUCAGCGGUAAAAGCGCGGGGCUCAACCUCGCCCCGCCGUUGAAACUGGCAGUCUUGAGUGGGCGAGAAGUAUGCGGAAUGCGUGGUGUAGCGGUGAAAUGCAUAGAUAUCGCGCAGAACUCCGAUUGCGAAGGCAGCAUGCCGGCGCCAAACUGACGCUGAGGCACGAAAGCGUGGGUAUCGAACAGGAUUAGAUACCCUAGUAGUC
rnacentral:rRNA from 1 species